rnacentral:lncRNA from 1 species
GAGGCUUGGGCCGCCGAGCUGGACCCGGACCGGUUUUGGUGUUCUGAGUCAUGAAGCCCUGCAGAGGGAGAGGCGUGCACUACUGAGUUCUCUGGUCUGCUGGGCCCAGCACAACUUCCAGGGCUCUGGUAACUUUAGUCAUCUAUUUGGUGGGCAGGGGGCCUACUCAGGCCCUCCCUAUGUAGAUGAUGUUUUACAAAAGCCUGUCAGUUCUUUGAGGCCUCAUUGAUGACCCUUGAACUUGAAGGAUGUAGAAAAACUCAACAUGAGAGAGAAAGCCUGAAUCGCUCAGUCCAAAUCCCUGAGGCGAAGUGAUUUCCCUACGGUAGCAAAACCUAGGUUGGUACCAGGUCCAGAGAAAGGGAUCCCUGCUUUUUCCCUUCAUCCAGCGCUUUCCUCAAUAUAUCAGGUCCCCCUAAAAUGUUAGAUGAUGUGCAGCCUCUAAAGGAGUGUGGCCAUGGGCCAGAUUAUACGCUUGUAUGAGGAGAAAUUUUAUACAGAUUCUAUCACUGGUUAUCAGAAUUAAUAGAUGAACUAAAGUGAUUUCAUAGCUACCGCACUGUGUCCUCUUAGCUUUCUGUAUUAAUCAGAUGAAAUCACAUGUAAGUUAAGGGAACUGCUGAUAUCAGAAGGGCUCAUGUGACCAAUGUCCUUUUCAUUCAGGCCUAGGGAAACCAGUAUCUGCCAAAAAGAUUAGUGCUCCCAAAAGGGCAACCAUCUUCAGCAAGGCCUGUUGUACUGUGUCAAAUACAAAGCCAUCUUAAUAUGAAAAAAAGCAGGCAGAAAAGGGGAUAAUUGUAAUGAUGAAGAUAGAGUCAAUCAUUCUUCCUUGUUAUUUGGACUACACGGAUCUGGUCAUGCUGUGGUUCAGCUCUUGACCCAGAGAAUAUGAGCACAUGUAACCACAACCUAAUGUAAUGGAGUUCUAGGUCCUGCCCUAGCCUUAUAUAACCUCCCAUUUAGAAUGUGUAUAACAUUGGGUAAAGUGAUGGACCUCAAUGAAAUAACAUUACAUGUAGUUCUAUGCUUCAAGUAAAUGCUUGGAUAUUAUGAUUUUGUAACAGAAGUCAUGGGGUUUGAAAUGGCUAUUUCUUUAACCUUUGGCCCAUCUCUUUUAUAAUAAAAGCAGGCCAUCAAAUGAAGUGCUGGUUCUUAGGAGAGAGAUGGCGUCAAGCCAACUGCAAAGAAGGUAAGACUGAAAGGAAGGGCAUAUCCUUUUACUAACCCAGGGAGAAGAGUCUGUCAAAAUUGGUUCUGGCACAAAAGAUGGAAUAAAGCUUUAAAAAUGGUCGCACUAUUUUGGUUUACACUAUGUCUUGACCUUGGGAAGGGUGGAUGGUGAGAUAUGUGAAAGGAAGGGGAAGAAAAGUUGGAAGACCUACAGGAACCUGUGAGCGGGCAUAUCUGGAACAAGCUGGGAUUCUCACCAGAGAAACUAGAAUGGAAACAAGCCACAUAUUACUAGGUCAUUGGGCAGAGUGCAGAGCAUGGGAGAAGUUCUUUCAGGGACCAAAGCUAGGAAUGUGAGUUCCAGAAAAAGCUGGGCCUUACAGGUCCGGUGUGGAUUGUGAAGUGAUGGGGUUAGUAGUUGGGCCUCAGGUCAAGGAAUCCAAUUUGGAUAAAU